rnacentral:lncRNA from 1 species
AUGCUUAAGACUGAAUACAUCAGAGUAGCCUCACCAAUACCAAGAAUAAUGGGAGGACUAUCUUGCCAUCCUUAUGUCAUUUACUUUCCCACUGUCAUGUCCAUGUUCAGUGUUUUUCAGGAAGAAGACGCCCAUCUUCUCAUUGAGCAAGUGCAAAGAGUCAAACACAUCUCACUGAGCCACACUGCACCUGGAGAUGUAUCCAGGGGGAGAUAUGCAAAAAUGCACAGCAGCCCCAGGUUUCCUCCUAGCAUUUCCUGUCAGCUGUCUGGCUAUCUACCAGGGAAAAAGAAAAACCUCCUAAUACGGUUCCUGUGGGAAUUUGAAUUAAUUUAG